UGCUGCUUUGAGUAUUGAGAUGGAUA
rnacentral:piRNA from 1 species